rnacentral:rRNA from 1 species
AGGACGAACGCUGGCGGCGUGCCUAAUGCAUGCAAGUCGCACGCAGGGAGCUUGCUCCCUGAGUGGCGCACGGCUGAGGAUCACGUGGGAACAUGCCUCCUUGUGGGGGACAACACCGCGAAAGCGGUGCUAAUCCCGCAUACGCUCGGCAACGAGGAAAGCGGCAACGCGCAGGGAGAGUGGCCCGCGGCCCAUCAGGUUGUUGGUGGGGUAAUGGCCUACCAAGCCGGUGACGGGUAGCUGGUCUGUGAGGACAGACAGCCAGACCGGGACUGAGACACGGCCCAGACUCCUACGGGAGGCAGCAGCAAGGAAUUUCGCAAUGGGCGCAAGCCUGAACGAGCAACGCCGCGUGGAGGAUGACGGCCUUCGGGUGUAACUCGUUUUCGGGACGAUAAGUGACGGUACCCCGGAAUAAGGCUCGGACUAACUCUGUGCCAGCAGCCGC